rnacentral:rRNA from 1 species
AUUGAACGCUGGCGGCAGGCCUAACACAUGCAAGUCGAGCGGAUGAAGGGAGCUUGCUCCUGGAUUCAGCGGCGGACGGGUGAGUAAUGCCUAGGAAUCUGCCUGGUAGUGGGGGAUAACGUCCGGAAACGGGCGCUAAUACCGCAUACGUCCUGUGGGAGAAAGUGGGGGAUCUUCGGACCUCACGCUAUCAGAUGAGCCUAGGUCGGAUUAGCUAGUUGGUGGGGUAAAGGCCUACCAAGGCGACGAUCCGUAACUGGUCUGAGAGGAUGAUCAGUCACACUGGAACUGAGACACGGCCCAGACUCCUACGGGAGGCAGCAGUGGGGAAUAUUGGACAAUGGGCGAAAGCCUGAUCCAGCCAUGCCGCGUGUGUGAAGAAGGUCUUCGGAUUGUAAAGCACUUUAAGUUGGGAGGAAGGGCAGUAAGUUAAUACCUUGCUGUUUUGACGUUACCAACAGAAUAAGCACCGGCUAACUUCGUG